rnacentral:tRNA from 8 species
GCCCGGGUGGCGAAAUCGGUAGACGCAGGGGACUCAAAAUCCCCCGCCGCAAGGCGUGCCGGUUCGAGUCCGGCCCCGGGCACCA